AGAGUUUGAUCAUGGCUCAGAUUGAACGCUGGCGGCAGGCUUAACACAUGCAAGUCGAACGAUGAUUAUCUAGCUUGCUAGAUAUGAUUAGUGGCGGACGGGUGAGUAACAUUUAGGAAUCUACCUAGUAGUGGGGGAUAGCUCGGGGAAACUCGAAUUAAUACCGCAUACGACCUACGGGUGAAAGGGGGCGCAAGCUCUUGCUAUUAGAUGAGCCUAAAUCAGAUUAGCUAGUUGGUGGGGUAAAGGCCCACCAAGGCGACGAUCUGUAACUGGUCUGAGAGGAUGAUCAGUCACACCGGAACUGAGACACGGUCCGGACUCCUACGGGAGGCAGC
rnacentral:rRNA from 1 species